AAUGUUUUACUGUGUUGAAGUUUUAAUUUUCUGUUUACAUUGGUAAAUAAGAGCAGCUAGAGCACAUCGAAUUUUUGUGAAAGUUUAUGAUGACUCUGCACCAUCGGAUAGAUUUUGUAGGGAAUGUGGUUUGGAUGAUUUAAAAGUGGAGACGACGACGACGACGGAAUCAGUAAAUUUCCAGAAACAUGGGAAACAGUAGUGGCUAGCGAGGGCCAAUACUUUGAAUAUUGUAUGGAAUCAUUUUAUUAUUCAAAUUAAUUUGUUUUUCUUGCAAAAAACGGAACGAAUUAAGUUACACACCCAAUAAUUUAUAUGAACACAGUUCUGAAGGGUCUGUGAAUGGACACGACAAGAUUAUUCGACGAAACGAAGUUUCUUAUCGUGUGGAAAGAGUCUUUCGGCGGGUUUUCUUGCUCUUGAAAACCUAAAACCGGCCAGCGACUCGACUUAAACUGCGCUCGGGAGAUGAAAAGACAUGUUUGAAUACGGGACAAAUCCAAGCACAGAAGGGAUUUCGGAACGACUACGGAAUUGCUAACAUCGUUAACAAUUGCGUAGUUCCGGUUCCAAUGAAUAUCUGGCUGAUCUGAGGAUCGAAAAGUGUGCUCGACCAUUCCGACUUUGUCAGUGGAAGAAGGCAGAAGCGGUUAGUAAUUGUGUACCGCGUAGUAAAAGAUUGAAGUGUGAUUAGAUUAGCGUGAUUAGCAUAAGUGUAUCAUUACGCUGUUACGCUGAAAAGGAUAGAUACUCUCCAGUGCACCAGCAAAUUAAAUUGGAGGGAGUACCGCUACUGAUCCCACGUACGAGGUCCGGAAUUUUGCCGCCACACUCGUCAAUUCUGGUGGCCGCGCAGAGCGCUUACGCAAAACGGCACUCGCGCAAGAAAGGAAAUCAUCACAGGGUACGCAGCACGGAGCCAUCACUCGUCCGUGUGCGGACUCGAGAUUCAUUGUCCCGUUCAUCGUCUGCAGCGAACGACGGUAAAGCAGAACCACGUAAAAUCCUAGGUCGUGAGUAGAAAUCUAUGUAGGGAAUGCAUGUAGGGAAUAAAUAGAGACAGAAGAACCACACAACUAAUAAAUGCCACACUAGAUUUUGAAGAGUGUUCUUACCGACAGUGAGUGCGAGCCCGUCGGCAGAAAGAAAAGCCUGGAUGAGAUGAGGCGAUAGAGUAGUUAGGAAACGUGCCGUUCAGAGAAUCGAUGGGUCGAAACUCGAAUUACCAUCCAUCGAUCGAUCGAAACCCAAAUUACCAAAUAAAAUGUUUAUAAUAGAUGUUUAAGGAAAAUAAUGUUCGUAAUUUAUGUUGUCUCGAAUAUAUCUAAAAUGAAGCGUUGGGGGGAAAUAUAUAAUUAAUUUGUUCAAAGACUAU